rnacentral:lncRNA from 1 species
AAAUGGCUGAGCUCUUCUGGAUGAACUCAGGGCAUCUCUGAGGACUGUGGACCUGGCCCAGCCCUCCGCAGGGUGUAACCCUGCUCUGGGGUGAACUUUCAUUCACUGUGGAGCAGGUAAAGGGCCCAUGGUCACGGGCACCAUCUAGUUAUCUAACGCUGUAGUUCAGUGUUCUAGAGAAGGGGAAAUGGGCCAAGUUGAUCGGUUCUUACACGGCAGAAGGAGUCACUGCUUGUACUGAGGUUUCAAAACUGUUACUGCCUCAUUGAUUCUGCAGUUUAAUGUCUACCUUCUCAGUUGGAAAAUAAUGGAUUUUCAUAACUCAUAAAUGGCUUUAUGAAAACCAUUUCUUACCGUGGUAGCAGAUGAGAUGAACAGCUGACCGAGAAGGCAUGACUGGGCAGGUCCAGGGUCAGCACUCCGGCCUCACAUACUGCAGACGGGGUUACGCAGCCGUGGUCUCUUGACCACGCUGCUCUUCCAUAAAGACUCCACAAACGACUGCAAAAGCCGAAGGCUGGCCACCUUCUAUGCCGAUGUUGUGACUCCAGAAUGCUUGCAAAGGGGAAUCCAGGCACAAUCUUCAGCUGUUGUGCAUCCAAAAACGAUUAUGGAAAUGAUGCUGAAAAUGCAUCUAUGAGCAUCAAUUUACUGUGUCCUGCCUGGCUUCAGGGCCUCAGAUGCAUCCUGAAGAGCAUCCAGGGAAGUCUUAGAGCCAUGGGCUUCUCUGCUAAGAACUGGUGAUGUCACGCAGGCUGGAAGCUGACAAUUUAAGUCAAUUCACUCUCCAAAAUGUUGCACCCCUGCUGCGUGUUAAGCUCAUUAAAGUUGGAGAGUUGAAU